GAGAAGUGGUGGAUAACGAAGAGGUGAUUCAUGCUUUAGGGGAUGUGUUUCUUCACCCCGAGUGUACAAUUGCGUCAGUUUUGGAUAAUUUCAUGAAGGAAGGUAUUAGUGUGAUUGAUUUUUAUGUUCAGCGUGGACAAAGGUUGGAGCUUCAUGAGUGUGCUUGCUUGGCCUUCAGUCGUGCCCUCCAUUUGAAUUCUUCUUUGCUAGGGGAAAUAAGAGACGGGUGGAUAUGAAACUUCAGAGUGAUGUAGGAUAUGAUGUGCAAAAGCAACGAACUAUAACCACUGCUGUCCUAAGAUUGGUGUUUGCUCUAACCUCAUUGGUUGAGACCUCUGAAUUUUUUGAGGUCAGCUGUGUUUCUUUAGAUGACCUUUUCUUUAUGAUCUUUUCAUUGCUAAUUUAAAACUCUAUUCCAUAUUGAUUGGCCUGGUUCAGUGAGCAUGACUUGCCGUUUAAACACUAUCUUCCAAAUUUGGAAGAUACAAACCUGUUUUGAAAAUUUGUAACUACUAUUCUCGUAUGUGCGUUUUCGUUAGUGUAUGUUUCCUUGCACUGUCAACUGAAUGUAGUACAUAUUGUCUAGAGGAUUUCAAUCAACUUCAGUACUCGAGUUUAUA